CAUAGGCUCCAGAAAACAAGAAGCAAGACUGGAAAGCUGGGGAUGAUUGUACGCCCUCGCCUGAAUCUUACGUGGUUCCUCCUUCUUCCACCUGGCCAGUGCAGAGCCGUGGGUGCCACGUGGCCACUUCUGGAUUGGGUUCCCCUUGGCCUGCCACCCUGUCCUUCUGCUUUCCCACUUUGCCAGCCAGAGUCAAUUUGAGCACGCCAAGUUCUCCUCUCCAUACAUGUAACUCCUGGGCACAGUUACAAGUGCUGAGUUCUUGCGAGGAUGAACUCAAGAUACAAAAUAUGCUUGGCAACUCACUCCUGAGUGGCCACAGGCACACGCAGGAGUCGAACCCACCCGCCUCUGCUGACAGUCAUGGGUCAAGCUCAAAGUCCUGGCUGCUUCUCUGCUCAAUCUGUGCCCGCAGAGAGAGCCUGCUCCAGCCUCUUUGCUACAGCCUUGAGUCUUCUGCUACAACAAUUGUGAUAGUAAUGAGUAACACAGAGAAAUGAGAAUUGACUUAACA
rnacentral:lncRNA from 1 species